rnacentral:rRNA from 1 species
UACGUAGGGCGCAAGCGUUAUCCGGAAUUAUUGGGCGUAAAGAGCUCGUAGGCGGUUUGUCGCGUCUGCCGUGAAAGUCCGGGGCUCAACUCCGGAUCUGCGGUGGGUACGGGCAGACUAGAGUGAUGUAGGGGAGACUGGAAUUCCUGGUGUAGCGGUGAAAUGCGCAGAUAUCAAGGAGGAACACCGAUGGCGAAGGCAGGUCUCUGGGCAUUAACUGACGCUGAGGAGCGAAAGCAUGGGGAGC